GAAAAGAACUUUGAAAAGAGAGUUAAACAGUACGUGAAAUUGUUGAAAGGGAAACGAUUGAAGCCAGUCGUACCGACGGAAAAUCAACUUCUCGGGUGCUUAUCAUGGGUGACGUUGAGCCUCACGGUCUUCGUUGCUUGUGUUAUUGGUACCUUUGUUGUGCACUUUUUCGUAUGGUAGGUCAACAUCGAUUUUGAUCGUCAUAAAAUGAUUGGAGGAAUGUAGCUUUGAUUUCGAUCGAAGUGUUAUAGCCUUUGGUAGAUGUGAUGAUCGGGAUUGAGGAUUGCAACGGAUACCCUUCGGGGCUACCCGUCUGACCUCUGGAAGUCGCUUGGGUGUUGAAAGCUUGCUUAUGGCAUACAAGUUGACGGUCAAUAGGUUAGAACGCGAUUACAUUCGU
rnacentral:rRNA from 1 species